rnacentral:rRNA from 1 species
AUGCAGUCGAACGAGAAUCUGUGGAUCGAGGAUUCGUCCAAGUGAAGCAGAGGACAGUGGCGGACGGGUGAGUAACGCGUGAGGAACCUGCCUUUCAGAGGGGGACAACAGUUGGAAACGACUGCUAAUACCGCAUGAUACAUUUGGGUGGCAUCAUCUGAAUGUCAAAGAUUUAUCGCUGAAAGAUGGCCUCGCGUCUGAUUAGCUAGUUGGUGAGGUAACGGCCCACCAAGGCGACGAUCAGUAGCCGGACUGAGAGGUUGACCGGCCACAUUGGGACUGGGAUACGGCCCAGACUCCUACGGGAGGCAGCAGUGGGGAAUAUUGGGCAAUGGGCGCAAGCCUGACCCAGCAACGCCGCGUGAAGGAAGAAGGCUUUCGGGUUGUAAACUUCUUUUAAGAGGGAAGAGCAGAAGACUGUACCUCUAGAAUAAGCCACGGCUAACUACGUGCCAGCAGCCGCGGUAAUACGUAGGUGGCAAGCGUUGUCCGGAUUUACUGGGUGUAAAGGGCGUGCAGCCGGGAAUGCAAGUCAGAUGUGAAAUCCAUGGGCUUAACCCAUGAACUGCAUUUGAAACUGUAUUUCUUGAGUACUGGAGAGGCAAUCGGAAUUCCUAGUGUAGCGGUGAAAUGCGUAGAUAUUAGGAGGAACACCAGUGGCGAAGGCGGAUUGCUGGACAGCAACUGACGGUGAGGCGCGAAAGUGUGGGGAGCAAACAGGAUUAGAUACCCUGGUAGUCCACACUGUAAACGAUGAAUACUAGGUGUGCGGGGACUGACCCCCUGCGUGCCGCAGUUAACACAAUAAGUAUUCCACCUGGGGAGUACGAUCGCAA